AUACUUACCUGGCGUAGGGAUCACCGUGAUCACUAAGUCGGUUCCCCCAGGAUGAGGCAUUUCCAUUGCACUACGGUCGGGCUGACUCCUACGAGUGCUCCAAAUGUGGGUAUACCGGGCGCGUAAUUUUUGGUAGCGGGGACUGCGUUCGCGCCGUCCCUA
rnacentral:snRNA from 1 species